AGCAGCCGCGGUAAUUCCAGCUCCAAUAGCGUAUAUUAAAGUUGUUGCAGUUAAAAAGCUCGUAGUUGAAUUUCGGGAUCAAUAUGUUGGUCGUGCCUUUGGUACGUACUGGUAUUAUUGGUUUCUCCUUUCUGAUGAAUCAUGAUGUCAUUAAUUUGGUGUCGUGGGGAAUCAGGACUGUUACUUUGAAAAAAUUGAGUGUUUAAAGCAGGCUUACGCUUGAAUACAUUAGCAUGGAAUAAUGAAAUAGGACGUUUAAUUCUAUUUUGUUGGUUUCUAGGAUUGACGUAAUGAUUAAUAGGGAUAGUUGGGGGCAUUAGUAUUCAAUUGUCAGAGGUGAAAUUCUUGGAUUUAUUGAAGACUAACUACUGCGAAAGCAUUUGCCAAGGAUG
rnacentral:rRNA from 1 species